rnacentral:lncRNA from 1 species
UGUGCAGAGAGCAAACCUCUACCAGUGCAUGGCAACCCAGUGCAGUCCAGUGUGUUCCUGAAUACAUCAGCUGAGCUGUAAGAAUGUACAAGAUCUUUUCAGUGCCAGUGGGAAUGACUGGGAGUAAAUGAAGACAGAAUAUCACCCACAGUCUCAGUAGGAGAUUGCUUCCCACACUGACACGUGUGCUUGGAUAUUCAGAAGAAAUUAUAUGCACCGAAAAUACAACACAUUGUGUCACAGAACCUGGUAAUUUUGAAGAAAAAAAAUCAUUAAGAGCCAAGUUAUAUGCUACACCAGUAUCUUUAUCUGUGGGGUACUUCCAAUAAACUGAUUUAAUUGGAAGAAAGGUUAGAAAUCGGUUAACUUCAGCAUAUAAACAGUGUGAAGGGGGAAACUAAAGGAAUAUAAACUCAAACCAGUAGGCACACAUUUUCUCAAUUAUUAAUAAAAGAUCUUAUUUUUCUAAUGUGAGCA